UUAAAAUGUACUCUGAUAAUCAUAGCAGCAGACAGGUACAACAGAGUCACUGUUAAAAUGUACUCUGAUAAUCAUAGCAGCAGACAGGUACAACAGAGUCACUGUAAAAAUGUGCUCUAAUAAUCAUAGCAGCAGACAGGUACCAUGGAGUCACUGUUAAGAUGUACUCUGAUAAUCAUAGCAGCAGACGGGUACCAUGGAGUCACUGUUAGAAUGUACUCUGAUAAUCAUAGCAGCAGACAGGUACAACAGUCACUGUUAAAAUGUACUCUGAUAAUCAUAGCAGCAAACAGGUACCAUGAAGUCACUGUUAAAAUGUACUCUGAUAAUCAUAGCAGCAGACAGGUACAACAGAGUCACUGUUAAAAUGUACUCUGAUAAUCAUAGCAGCAAACAGGUACAACAGAGUCACUGUUAAAAUAUACUCUAAUAAUCAUAGCAGCAAACAGGUACAACAGAGUCACUGUUAGAAUGUACUCUGAUAAUCAUAGCAGCAGACAGGUACCAUGGAGUCACUGUUAGAAUGUACUCUGAUAAUCAUAGCAGCAGACAGGUACCAUGGAGUCACUGUCAAAAUGUACUCUGAUA